rnacentral:rRNA from 1 species
UACGAAGGAUCCAAGCGUUAUCCGGAUUUAUUGGGUUUAAAGGGUGCGUAGGCGGCUUUUUAAGUCAGUGGUGAAAGCUCCAUGCUUAACAUGGAAAUUGCCAUUAAUACUGAAGAGCUUGAGUACAUUUGAAGUGGGCGGAAUAUGUCAUGUAGAGGUGAAAUUCUUAGAGAUGACAUAGAACACCGAUUGCGAAGGCAGCUCACUAAACUGUAACUGACGCUGAGGCACGAAAGCGUGGGGAUCAAACAGG